UACGAGGGGCGAGCGUUGUUCGGAAUUAUUGGGCGUAAAGGGUGCGUAGGCGGUUUGGUAAGUCUUGUGUGAAAUCUCUGGGCUCAACUCAGAGUCUGCACGAGAAACUGCCGGGCUUGAGUGUGGGAGAGGUGAGUGGAAUUCCUGGUGUAGCGGUGAAAUGCGUAGAUAUCAGGAGGAACACCUGUGGCGAAAGCGGCUCACUGGACCAUAACUGACGCUGAUGCACGAAAGCUAGGGGAGCAAACAGG
rnacentral:rRNA from 1 species